GCCCUUCCUACGGGAGGCAGCAGUAGGGAAUCUUCCACAAUGGGUGCAAACCUGAUGGAGCAAUGCCGCGUGAAUGAAGAAGGUCUUCGGAUCGUAAAGUUCUGUUAUUAGAGAAGAACAAGUCAAGGGUAACUGUCUUGACUUUGACGGUACCUAACCAGAAAGUCACGGCUAACUAUGUGCCAGCAGCCGCGGUAAUACGUAGGUGACAAGCGUUGUCCGGAAUUAUUGGGCGUAAAGGGAGCGCAGGCGGUUGGAAUAGUCUGAUGUGAAAGCCCACGGCUUAACCGUGGAAGGUCAUUGGAAACUGUCCAACUUGAAUGCAGAAGAGGUAAGUGGAAUUCCAUGUGUAGCGGUGAAAUGCGUAGAUAUAUGGAGGAACACCAGUGGCGAAGGCGACUUACUGGUCUGUGAUUGACGCUGAGGCUCGAAAGCGUGGGUAGCGAACAGGAUUAGAUACCCUGGUAGUCCACGCCGUAAACGAUGAGUGCUAAGUGUUGGAGGGUUUCCGCCCUUCAGUGCUGGAGUUAACGCAUUAAGCACUCCGCCUGGGGAGUACGACCGCAAGGUUAAACUCAAAGGAAUUGACGGAAGGGC
rnacentral:rRNA from 1 species